CCAGCAGCCGCGGUAAUUCCAGCUCCAAUAGCGUAUACCAAUUUUGCUGCAGUUAAAAAGCUCGUAGUUGAACGUGUGGUAGGUGUUGACCGGGCACGCGCCUCGUGCGCUGUGACUUGCGUCGACGCUGGCCAUCCUGGCGAGUUCGCUCGCCUCGUUUACUGUAAAUAAAUCAGGAUGUUUCAAGUAGGCCGUAGUGCCGGAAUGUAGUAGUAUGGAAUAAUAAGAUAGGACUCUUGGUCUAUUUUGUUGGUUUGCAACUGAGAGUAAUGAUGAAUAGGGACAGUUGGGGGUAUUCGUAUUUAGAUGUCAGAGGUGAAAUUCUUGGAUUUUCGAAAGACGAA
rnacentral:rRNA from 1 species